rnacentral:rRNA from 1 species
UACGUAGGGGGCAAGCGUUGUCCGGAUUUAUUGGGCGUAAAGAGCGUGUAGGCGGCCAGAUAGGUCGGUUGUGAAAACUGGAGGCUCAACCUCCAGCCUGCAGUGGGUACGGGCAGACUAGAGUUCGGUAGGGGAGACUGGAAUUCCUGGUGUAGCGGUGAAAUGCGCAGAUAUCAGGAGGAACACCGGUGGCGAAGGCGGGUCUCUGGGCCGAUACUGACGCUGAGGAGCGAAAGCGUGGGGAGCGAACAGG